rnacentral:tRNA from 1 species
UCCCUGGUGGUCCAGUGGUUAAGGCUUGGCACUUUAUCUGCUGAGGCCCAGGUUCGAUCCCUGGUCAGGGAA